rnacentral:lncRNA from 1 species
CAGGGACUCCAGCAGUGGAAGGCGCAUGCCAGGCUCGCUGGGGAGAUGAACGAGCAAACCAACAUGUGCCAGUUGCAGUGACACAGUACCGAUGGUGAGGGGGGCACUGCAGACGGGUGUGUUGGGAAGGGAGUUUGCAGUGACACAGUACAGAUGGUGAGGGGACACUGCAGACCUCUGUGUUGGGAAGGGAGUUUGCAGUGACACAGUACAGAUGGUGAGGGGACACUGCAGACCUCUGUGUUGGGAAGGGAGUUUGCAGUGACACAGUACAGAUGGUGAGGCGACACUACAGACCUGUGUGUUGGGAAGGGAGUUUGCAGUGACACAGUACAGAUGGUGAGGGGACACUGCAGACCUCUGUGUUGGGAAGGGAGUUUGCAGUGACACAGUACAGAUGGUGAGGCGACACUACAGACCUGUGUGUUGGGAAGGGAGUUUGCAGUGACACAGUACAGAUGGUGAGGGGGCACUGCAGACGGGUGUGUUGGGAAGGGAGUUUGCAGUGACACAGUACAGAUGGUGAGGGGACACUGCAGACCUGUGUGUUGGGAAGGGAGUUUGCAGUGACACAGUACAG